UACCCCGCCAAGCACCACAGAGCCAAUGCCAGAGUGCCAGCCAGUGCCAAGUUGACGUUCAGGGAGUGAGGGUGUGCCGAGUGUGUGUGUAUCAGUGCCUUCCUCACAUUUCAAAGGCACAAGUGGAGAUAGAAAAAAAAAUAGAAAAAAAAAAAAAAACAUCUCAGUACAAGUUUUACCAGUUCAUCUCCAACUUCAGAAGCUCAACGAUCGAGUAACACUGCAACUCUACGCGCAGCACCCCCACUACUUCCAAAAGGCUCUCACUGAAUCUACACGGGUUUUUACGGGUGUUUUUUUUACGGCUCUAGUGACGGAUUAACAACAUUUCUACAUUACGAACAGAAGAAACACGCUUGAGAACCCGACUGAUCAUCUCUGUGGCCUUUGAAAAUAGUCGUGGUGAGAGCAAAGCGUUUCCGAACAAAAAGUGAUAUAUACCUCAAGACACAGAUGUAAUUCCUGACCCAGAGAAAGAAAACUGAAGGCAGAAACACAGUAAGACCAUCAGAGGAAACACGAGGAACUAUUAGUCGCAUAUUACAAGACAGGUGUCAAAAUGCAGGUGUGUAGAAGAGGGUGGCGUGUGCAGGUGUGCCUCGCUCUGGCUCUCACCUGCUUCACUGUACUUGUUCACGCCCAGCCAGCAGCAGGUGUGCUGGAGUCAGACUCUCAGUGGUGGCAGGGCUGGCACGAGAUGCGCAGGCCAGCAGUGACAAGGGAGCAGAUGAAUGUGACAGCUGUGGCCGGACAGACAGCCGCCCUCCCUUGCAAAGUCAUGAACCUUGGGGAUCGCACGGUGUCAUGGAUCAGGACUCAAGACUCUGCCGUGCUUGCUGUCGACAGAACCACCAUCACCUCUGACCCUCGCUUCUCGGUAAACCACCCGGAGGAGACAGAGGACUGACUAUUGGAGGUCCGGGGGGUUGAGUCGCGGGAUGAAGGCACCUACGACUGCCAGGUGAACACACAUCCCAAGAUAUCCACUCAGGUGCACCUCAAAGUACUCACCCACCCAGGACAGACGUCAAUACUUGAUAUGCCGGUCUCAGACACAGGAAUGCUCUUCCCUUCCCCAG
rnacentral:misc_RNA from 1 species